rnacentral:rRNA from 1 species
UACGAAGGGUGCAAGCGUUGAUCGGAAUUACUGGGCGUAAAGGGUGCGUAGGCGGUUCGUUAAGUCUGUUGUGAAAUCCCCGGGCUCAACCUGGGAAUGGCAAUGGAUACUGGCGGGCUAGAGUGUGUCAGAGGAUGGUGGAAUUCCCGGUGUAGCGGUGAAAUGCGUAGAGAUCGGGAGGAACAUCAGUGGCGAAGGCGGCCAUCUGGGACAACACUGACGCUGAAGCACGAAAGCGUGGGGAGCAAACAGG